GAAAUCGCCGCGACAUUCAGUGUGCGAAACUUGUUUUAUGAAACAUCAUGAAGAGCUGCUUCAGGAUAACAAACCACGUCGUCUGCUACCACACAUGAAUGAUGGGAUGGUGAACCAUGACAACUGAUCAAAAUAAUGGCAAGAUUUCAAGAGACAUCUCGUCUAUUGGAGGUGUUCAAGGAAACGAAGCCCUCACCGGUGAAAAAGAAAGCGGUCAAAGAGUCAAAAGAGGUCCAGCCCGCCCCCCCCCCCCCUCCCGCCCUGCUUUUCGAAUUUGCAGCACUUGCAGUGGCCUGAAAUUUAGGGGAAAAUGUUCUUGGGUCCAACCUUGGUGUCCCCUAAAAACAAGAUGGUGCCUUCCCCUGCCCUCCAACCCCAACACUGAACAAAUCCUGGCUCAGGCUAUCCACGGCAUUUCAAGUGGCUGUGUGAGUUGCCUUUUCUUGUGCAAGCCUGGAUGAAAUUCCUAUAUGAUCUUUUCAAGCUUUUGGGUUUAUCCUCACACGUACUUUGCUGCUGGAAUGCCUAUUUCUUUUUAAAAAAAAUUACUCACAGGCUUCUUGAACUUUGACUCUUUCAGUUUACAAUUAAGAGAUUGCAUCGACUAAAAUUCAUUUUCAUGCACUAAAAACAACUAACUGGACACCUUUCAGUAGACGGAGUUUUGUGACUUGAGUCUAGUUGAGUCCUUAUCAGAAAGUUACUCCUGUUGAGUUGAGUCAUUAAUUAGUCAAGAAGGCCGAGUUGAGUCACAGUUUGUGGUCAAGUUGAGUCAAAUUUAUGUUCGAGUCAAUUUGAUUUUAUGAUAUUUCAACACCUUAUAAUAAAUUUAUAAAUAAUUUUUGACUGGAAGAACAUACACAAGACACCCAUUUAUUAUGAAGAUCCAAAGACGUGAGUCCCAUCCAUGUCAAUACAAUGUAUGUGCAUUUUUUUCUUCUAAGCCCUCGAACACACAAUACAAUGUUUGUUCAGAUAUUUUGUAAAUAAUGUGUUCAUAUAAUUAUUAAAGAAGUAUUUAUUUGUCGGCUAUAUACACACAUCUUUAAACAGUUGCUUUUUUGUUUCCCUGAACAGAAAAUUUACUUAUUGUUUUUAUGAAUAAAGGAGGUAUUAAUUACUAAUAAAUGAAUCUUUAUCAUGUACCGACAUAAUCUUGUAAGCACUAAAUAAGUUUAGAGUGUCAA